UUANNUACUCUUGACNUCNNCNGAAUUCGGCAGAGAUGCCUUAGUGCCUUCGGGAACUGUGAGACAGGUGCUGCAUGGCUGUCGUCAGCUCGUGUUGUGAAAUGUUGGGUUAAGUCCCGCAACGAGCGCAACCCUUAUCCUUUGUUGCCAGCACGUAAUGGUGGGAACUCAAAGGAGACUGCCGGUGAUAAACCGGAGGAAGGUGGGGAUGACGUCAAGUCAUCAUGGCCCUUACGAGUAGGGCUACACACGUGCUACAAUGGCGUAUACAAAGAGAAGCGAACUCGCGAGAGCCAGCGGACCUCAUAAAGUACGUCGUAGUCCGGAUCGGAGUCUGCAACUCGACUCCGUGAAGUCGGAAUCGCUAGUAAUCGUAGAUCAGAAUGCUACGGUGAAUACGUUCCCGGG
rnacentral:rRNA from 1 species